rnacentral:rRNA from 1 species
UACGGAGGGUGCAAGCGUUAUCCGGAUUCACUGGGUUUAAAGGGUGCGUAGGUGGGUCUGUAAGUCAGUGGUGAAAUCCCCGAGCUUAACUUGGGAACUGCCGUUGAUACUAUAGAUCUUGAAUAUCGUGGAGGUAAGCGGAAUAUGUCAUGUAGCGGUGAAAUGCUUAGAUAUGACAUAGAACACCAAUUGCGAAGGCAGCUUACUACACAGUUAUUGACACUGAGGCACGAAAGCGUGGGGAGCAAACAGG